UGCUUGGUAUAAUUGUUUGUAGGUGUUUAAUGUUACUUUCACCACGGUGAAUAGUGAUCGUUGUUGAUAAAACUUCUUCAGAUUGCCAAUAUCACCAAGGUUACAAAAAGAGUAGACUUAAUAUGAAUAAAAGGAGCAUAAUUCAUCAAUGCUUGUUUUCUGUAGCUCUAUACUAGUUUCCAUACUUAUACAUCCUUCACUUUCAA
rnacentral:lncRNA from 1 species